UCUCUUUUCUUAAAAGAAAAACACAAUCAUGCCCAUGGAUUUUUUUCUGGGUUGCACGCACAGGCGGACAGAACUGCAUCACUGCCUUUUGGGCUCUCAUCGCCAGUGGGAUGCUCUUCUUUGACGCUCCGUUCCUGUCCUGCAAAAAGAUAGCAAACUGAGUCGUGAGACAGGGAAUAUCAAACUCCAGUGCGCUGUAUUUUUUCCUCCAAAAUCAAAUAAGCGAACUGCAAACAGCAAACCUCACCUCUUCCAUGUCUGUCUUUAAUUGUAAAAAUAUGAACAUCAAUAGGGAUGAGGUCGGAGACCACCUAUGGGGCAGGAGAUGCUUGCGUCAGGGGGAGGACGGAGGAGUAGUGGCACCCGACUGCAAAAGGGCUGCCGAACGGCUGUCGAACGGCACCAUGCGAGAUGCCACACUACGUGGCUGCAAAAACUGCGCUGCACAGGACGAGCUGACAAAC
rnacentral:lncRNA from 1 species